rnacentral:lncRNA from 1 species
AUUUGCUUUAGAUAUAUUUUAAAUAUAAAUAAAAUGUUCUACACAGAGGAGGCUGCAAAACGAGAGCCUCCCCAACUCCACUUGCUUUUCUUUUCCAUGAGUUGACCACUGUCUUCAAGAUGUAUAUGUUCCUCCCAAUCAGGUUUUAAAAUCAACGUGAUAUCCUGGAAAGUUUUAAAUGUACAUGAGGUAAGGAUGGAACUGUACAUCAUCAUCUUCAACUUGAUUGUUUUUAACUCAACAAUGUUUCAAAAUUUAACCAGUAAUUGUUUUUAACUCAACUAUGUUUCAAAAUUUAACCAGCUUGAUGUAGGUGGUUUGAUGUGGAUCCAUUCAUUUGAUGUGGAUAAUGAAUCCACAUAAUUCGUUUGAUGUGGAUAUAUAUAGUGUUCCAUUAGCUGUACCUUAAUUUAUCUUUUUUUUUUUCCAUUUUGAUGGGCAUUUGUGUUGUUCAGGGAAAUGCAAAUAAAAACCACAAUGUGAUACCACCUUAUUCCUGCAAGAAUGGCCAUAAUCAAAAAAUGAAAAACCAGUAGAUGUUGGCAUGGAUGCAGUGAUCAGGGAACACUUCUACACUGCUUGUGGGAAUGUAAACUAGUACAGCCACUAUGGAAAACCAUGUGGAGAUUCCUUAAAGAACUAAAAGUAGAACUACCAUUUGAUCCAGCAGUACCACUACUGGGUAUCUACCCAGAGGAAAAGAAGUCAUUAUUCAAAAAAGGUACUUGCACACACAUGUUUAUAGCAGCACAAUUCAGAAUUGCAAAAUCAUGGAACCAACCGAAAUGCCCAUCAACCAAAGAGUGGAUAAAGAAACUGUGAUAUAUAUAUAUAUGAUGGAGUACCACUCAGCCAUAAAAAGGAAUGAAUUAACGGCAUUUGCAACGACCUGGAUGAGAUUGGAGACUAUUAUUCUAAGUUAAGUAACUCAGGAAUGGAAAACCAAAUGUCAUGUGUUCUCGCUGAUAUGUGGGAGCUAAGCUAUGAGGAUUCAAAAGCAUAAGAAUGAUACCAUGGACUUUGGGGACUUGGGGGGAAGAAUGGGAGGAGGGAGAGGGAUAAAAGACUACAAAUAGGAUGCAGUGUAUACUGCUCGGGUGAUGGGUGCACCAAAAUCUCACUAAUCACCACUAAAGAACUUAGUCAUGUAAUCAAAUACCACCUGUACCCCAAAAACCUAUGGAAAAAUUAAAAAUGAAUUAAUUUUAAAAAUAAAAUAAAAUUAAGGAGGAAUAAACCAAGGCUCUGAGAAAUUCAGUGACUUGCUAAAGUCUCACGGCUAGGAAUCUUUGGAGCCAUGUCUGCAAGACACUAAAGACUGUUCUCUUAGAUUCUACAUUCUUUUCUUGUGAUAUCCAUGAAUCAAUAUUGAAUAAGAUACUGGAGGGUACCAGGCUGGAAGUAAUCCCUCCCCCAGAACUCCUCUCACCCCCACAAAAAACCCCAACAAGAUUGUAAUAAACAUUCGUUGUUAACAUGUAUAAAUUUCUUUAGCAUAAACCCUUGCAGGGAAGUUUUCAAGUCACAGGUAAUCAUGUAUUUCAAUUAACCUUGAUCUUUCCAUAUUGUUUUCCAGAGUGGCCACCAGCUGAUGAUGAGAUUCACUGAUCCUCACAUCCUCUCCAAUUCUUGAGAUUAUCAUGGCUUAACUGAGAGAUAUUACAUGAUUAACAAACUCAUACUACCCUGGAACCAGCAUCAGUGCUACGGUGGAACCAAGAAUUCACUUCUGCCUCCAUUGUCACUGCCACCAGCAUCUGUCUACUCCCAAGAAACUAAAGGACAGGCACUGGACUGCUACUGCAGAAACACCCACAAUUCCACAGGCUUGCUUGCGUUUUAAUGUCCACCAACAGUGGAGUUGGCUUCCCGGCUGUGAAUAGAUUCAUGGAAGAUGAACAAAAACAAAUGAACAAAUCAAUGACAACAACAGCAACAUCUGUGCAUACUAUAGAAGCAGAUGUGUAAUUAUUUUGUACAUUGGCUUAAUACUGAGAAAGAGACUGAAUAAUUAUUGCACUUCUGGCAAGUCUAUAUAUACUGUCUCCUGACGAAGGACCCUCCAGCAACUUCGGGCUGAAAUGAAGCAGAUUCACUCAAUCCGCACAAACUCUCAGAAAAGUGCAUCUGGAAAAAAAAAAAAAAAGUGACAGGGACUGAGUCCCAGAGAUAUUCCCCAGGAACUCUCCCCAAUCUGUGGUGCAAUAUGUGGUCUGACACAGCUGGACACCAGGCAGCACUUGGCCACCAGCCCUUCUGGCUGGACUCCUCCCCAAGGUAGGGUUUACCCUCACAUAAAAUUGCCAACCAGGGCCCACUUGGGUAUAGAACUAAUUUAGCCUCCUGUACACUUGAUGAAUGAAGAAUUUCCUCUGGGGACUAAAUUAUAGGGCUUGUUGGAGUUGCUCUUUCGUGAUCUGUUAUUUGGAGGUAAUUUUCCAAAAGGGCUGGAACACAUGGCCAUGAGCUAGAAUAGGAUUCACCAUGAACAGCUGCCACGCGCUGGCCGGCACAUCCCAGUGCCCUUGUCCUCUCCCCCAGCCUCCCCUGCCACUACCCCUGCUUCCCGAGAGAGGAGGUCCAGACAACAGGGCUGGACUUAACGUUAGAUCUUUACUUUCCUUCUUAAUUAAACCACUAGAAUGGAAUCUGCCCACCUUUUUCUGCACCCAGGUUUCCAGAAAUGUAACAUCUUGUCGUAACACGUUUCAAAACAGAUGACAGGCCUUCCCCUCAUCCUCCAAUGUGGCUGAUUACAAGCUUCUGUCAAAUUCCACCAACCCCCACCAACCCACCCCAGUUGGCUGGAAGAUAAGCUUCUGAUCUUCCCUUGGCUUUUUGAACUGUUGGAAGCUGUGUAAACACAAGCUGCAGGUUAGUCAGAUUCUAUUUGACCCACGGCCUGCUGAGUGCAAAGAGAUUACAUUUGAACACUCCCUUGUCUAAUUAAGCAAUGGUGACCUAUUGCGGGGUGCUUGCUGAUGAGGUCAAAUAGCAAGGGUUUUUAGGCUGACCUGUUGCAGCUGGUCAUUUGCUGAUAAAUAAGAAACAGCUAGUUUUUAGUGAGCCAACUUCCCGACAGAGCCUUCCUUUCAUAAAGCACUCUAAUUUGGUUAUUUCUCUGAAUUUCUUAAGUGAGUUUCAGUACUUUAGAAAAAUUUUUAGUACUGAGAGUAACAGACAUUUGUCCUAUGAUGGAAACCCUUCUUCGCACAGCAGUGCCCCUUCAAAGGAUCUACAAACUGUUAUGCUGUGCCUCUAGAUCUUUUUAGACCACCAACUUCUUCAAAAUUGUGAAAGAUGAAGGUCAUUUUGAAUGUUGACAUUUGGAUGGGAUAUGAUGGUGAUAGUGGGACAGGAAGCCCCAAGAAAUAGAUCUCAAGACCUUGACCUAGCUACAUAAUCAGAAUCAUUUAUUGAGCAUCUGCUCUGUAGUAGACGCUGUUGUAGGAUCUUUUAAUCUUUAUCUCCACUCCUUACCAUGAUCGUCACAGCAAGUGCCAUUAUCCUUGUUUCAUUGCUAAGAUUCCUGAAGCAUAAAGAGGUCAG